rnacentral:rRNA from 1 species
AACGAACGCUGGCGGCAGGCUUAACACAUGCAAGUCGAACGCCACACAAGGGGAGUGGCAGACGGGUGAGUAACGCGUGGGAACGUACCUUUCAGUUCGGAAUAACUCAGGGAAACUUGUGCUAAUACCGGAUACGUCCGUAAGGAGAAAGAUUUAUCGCUGAAAGAUCGGCCCGCGUUGGAUUAGCUAGUUGGUGGGGUAAUGGCCUACCAAGGCGACGAUCCAUAGCUGGUCUGAGAGGAUGAUCAGCCACACUGGGACUGAGACACGGCCCAGACUCCUACGGGAGGCAGCAGUGGGGAAUAUUGGACAAUGGGCGAAAGCCUGAUCCAGCCAUGCCGCGUGAGUGAUGAAGGCCUUAGGGUUGUAAAGCUCUUUCACCGAUGAAGAUAAUGACGGUAGUCGGAGAAGAAGCCCCGGCUAACUUCGUGCCAGCCGCCGCCGUAA